CAGUCCCUGUGAAUGAGAUACUCCAUCAGUCUCUAGUGUAUGGCACCCUGGAAGAGGAUCAGAACAGCUGUGCAAUUUACAAAAUGUGGUGAGCGUAGGUUGUUUCAAACCCUGUGAACCAUCUAUCAGCCAUGCCUUGAGCUGAAAACCCCUGAGGAUGGGGUGAUAGAUUUGACUGGCAUCCUGAGAGAAGGGGAUAGUCUGCAGAGUGAUUGGUUAACAAACAAUGAGCUGAGUGAGGUAAGAAAACCAUGUUUGUAUUGGCCACAUCAGAACUACAAGAAUAAUUUGGUCUUUAUCUUUCUUUAUCUUGAACAGCACCUUGGAUAUCAAGGGAGUCGGGGGAAAUGCAUACAGAAGGCCUGGACUCCAACAAAGGAGAAAGGCAUCUCCCAGGGAGUGGUGACUCAAACUGCAUCUCGAGUAGAACUGGGAGAAUUUCUGAGGGCAUACACUGUGAUGUUUUGUAUGCCUAGAAGGGAUGUAAAUUCCCAGAGAGCGUAAGAUGGCUGUAGAGUCUUUUAAAGUAUGAAGAGAUUCAUCUAUUUUUUCUGCAAAACACUUCAAUCCAUCAAAAGGAAGGUCCUCAGCUGGAUUUCAGACUUCCCUCAGAAAACCCGAGAGCUAAAGCCAGAAAACUCUCUUCAUGACUAGCACUGGAGAUAGAAUGAGCGGCUUUAUCAGUGGCAUUCAGAGAGGGCUGCAGAGAUGUUUUGUGUGCCAUUGGCUCUCUGCAAUGAUCUCCUGGAAUUGCUCGCUCUGUUCUGUCAGAAUAUGUUCAAUAAAGGCAUUCAACUUUGAAUAGUUA